rnacentral:lncRNA from 1 species
GAAUAAACUUGAUCCACCUUCAAGGGAAGAGAAGCUGAGAAAUGACCCUCAUAUGCAAGUUUUAUCAGAAUAAAAUAAAUCCUUCUGUUGACCAUCCAGAGUGUGCUGAUCUGAUAUGGAUGCAAAAUUAGCUAGGGCUUCAAUCUUGUCACUGUCAACCAGAAUCAAUAGUUAUGGUUUAGUACACAUUCGAUGAAUCGAUGAAAGAUGAACAGUAUGGUUAUUCUGUAAGGCUGGAUUUCUGUGUGUUGCCAAUCACUUCAUUUGAAGUCACGUCUAAAGGGCGGCACCGCAUGGACUUGUCUUCUGUUGCAUAGUUUCUUGUACUGCUUAUUUAGCUGCUACUCGUGUCGGCAUCAGAUUUUGUUAAGAGGAGGAUGGUCCCGAGGCACAGCCUGUACCUCCGGCAAUGGAUUGUGCUGUUCUGUUUCUUUUCUUUUCUUUUAAAUGUUUAUGCAGAGACUUCCAUUUGGCUGUCUAUUCAGCUUGAGAAGAC